AUCUCCUGAGGGCCCUGGAGAGCCUGUGAAACCAUCUCCCAGCCCCAGAAGGAGAUCCUGGCACCAACAGGACCUGAGCUGAAAAAUCAAAAGGUGCAGAAUAUAAUCCAAUAACAGAUCCAGCUUAGAAAUCUCAACAGGUAAUGAGACUCGCAUCGACAAGAGCUGAAUUCUAUUCCAACAGAAUGCUGUGUGCAUAAUGUAUGAAGUUUUCAGAAAAACAGUCUUGAACAGACAAUUCGUCUGACCUUGGAUAAACCAGCGAUGAAAGGCACUACAACUCCCAUUUGCUGCCCCUGGAAGUACUUGAUCCAUUCUGCUCCUUAAGCUCCAAGUCCUACUUGGUCCAGGGACUCACUCCCCUGUGCUUCAGAGACUGAUGGAGCUAAAACUGCCACCCUUUCCUGGCACUCAAUCACAGUAGUCAUGUAUGGAUGUGACAGUUGGACCAUAAAGAAAGCUGAGCACCUAAGAAUUGAUG